rnacentral:rRNA from 1 species
CAUGCAAGUCGAACGGGAAUUUAUUUUCUCGUGGCGAACGGGUGAGUAUUCGCAGAAUUUUCCCUUUCAAUUCAGGACAAAAAUCUACUUGAUUAGGUUAAAAUACUGAAUAUUCAAAAGGUUAAAUCCGUCGAAAGACAAAUCUGCAUAAGAUUAGGUUGUUGGUAGAUUAAAAGUUUACCAAGCCCGCGAUCUUUAGUUGGUCUUAGAGGAUGAUCAACCACACUGGAACCGAAAUAGGGUCCAGGCUGACACGUCGGCCAGCAGUGAGGAAUAUUGGACAAUGAACGAAAGUUUGAUCCAGCAAUACUAACUGGGUGAUGACGGCUUAUUUAAGUUGUAAGAUCCUUUAAUUAAAGAAGAUAAUGACAUUAUUUAAUUGAAUUUUAGUCCUGGCUAAUACUCGUGCCAGCAGCCGCGGUAAUACGGGAAGGGCAAGCGUUAUUCGGCAUGACUGGGCGUAAAGGGUCCGUAGACUGCAAAGUAAGUUUUUUGCUAAAUUUUAAGACCCAAUCUUAAUUCUGCAAUUAAUACUGCUUUGCUUUGAGUUUAAUACAGAAAAGUAGAAUUUUAUACGACAGGGGUGAAAUCCGUAGAUAUAUAAAGGAAUGCCAACAGCGAAGGCAACUUUUUGGUAUAAACUGACG